AGUGAACGCUGGCGGUAGGCCUAACACAUGCAAGUCGAACGGCAGCACAGUAAUAGCUUGCUCUUACGGGUGGCGAGUGGCGGACGGGUGAGGAAUACAUCGGAAUCUACUUUUUCGUGGGGGAUAACGUAGGGAAACUUACGCUAAUACCGCAUACGACCUACGGUUGAAAGCAGGGGAUCUUCGGACCUUUCGCGUUUUAUUUAGCCGAUGUCGGAUUAGCUAGUUGGCGGGGUAAAGGCCCACCAAGGCGACGAUCCGUAGCUUGUCUGAGAGGAUGAUCAGCCACACUGGAACUGAGACACGGACCAGAAUCCUACGGGAGGAAGCAGUGGGGAAUAUUGGACAAUGGGCGCAAGCCUGAUCCAGCAAUACCGCGUGGGUGAAGAAGGCCUUCGGGUUGUAAAGCCCUUUUGUUGGGAAAGAAAAGAAGCAGGUUAAUACCCCGCUGUUCUGACGGUAACCAAAGAAUAAGCACCGGCUAACUUCGUG
rnacentral:rRNA from 1 species